rnacentral:rRNA from 1 species
UACAGAGGUCUCAAGCGUUGUUCGGAUUCAUUGGGCGUAAAGGGUGCGUAGGUGGCGCGGUAAGUCGGGUGUGAAAUCUCGGAGCUUAACUCCGAAAUUGCAUUCGAUACUGCCGUGCUCGAGGACUGGAGAGGAGACUGGAAUUCAUGGUGUAGCAGUGAAAUGCGUAGAGAUCAGGAAGAACAUCGGUGGCGAAGGCGCUCUGCUGGACCAUAACUGACACUCAGGGUCGAAAGCUAGGGGAGCGAAUGGG